rnacentral:rRNA from 1 species
UACAUAAGGAGCAAGCGUUGUCCGGAAUUAUUGGGCGUAAAGAGUACGUAGGCGGGAGCUUAAGCGCAGGGUUUAAGGCAAUGGCUUAACCAUUGUUCGCCCUGUGAACUGGGCUUCUUGAGUGCAGGAGGGGAAAGCGGAAUUCCUAGUGUAGCGGUGAAAUGCGUAGAUAUUAGGAGGAACACCAGUGGCGAAGGCGGCUUUCUGGACUGUAACUGACGCUGAGGUACGAAAGUGUGGGGAGCAAACAGGAUUAGAUACCCGCGUAGUCCCUGA